UCCCGGCGAAUGGACCGCAAUGACUAAUCAAGUGAACUACAUGUAAUGAGAAGUGAGCUUCUUCCGAGGUGUUUUCGUUUCGGAUCACCACGUGAACCACGAAGAAGUUUUAUUGUGAAAUUCAUGAGAGAAGAAAGUGAGCUUCAGAACAUACAUAUCCAUUCAUUAUUUUGCUACAGCCACACUCACAUCCUUAAUCCUUUUUUCACACAUAGUGAUCAACAAAGCUAUACACAGUGAACUCCAUCCUAUGAAAAAAUAGUGUGUGAGCCGGGCGGGGCACCUAGCCGAACUGGACCAGACCAUGUCCGGUGGCAAACCACGUUUUUUUUUCAACCCCAGGAUGCAAUCCCAACAUCGCCAGAAUGUACUGCACGUGCGCUCACUGCCGGAGUGACAAAGCUUAGUGAACUUCAAAGAUGUUUAUACCAAACAUUUAUGCAAUGCACUGCAACACACAUCUAGAGAAUUGCAAACAAUAUUAAAAAAGAAAGGCUCUAUAGUCCACGGACUCACACGCGAAUUACACCGAGCACAAAGUUAACUGCAAGGAUACUCUUCAAAAGCAAAAAAACAAAACUACUGGGGGAAAACAACACUUGGUCAUGGGACGGAGGCAACCUGUGGUCAGGGGAAGCAUCAAUGAUACACCCGCGACGGCGUCAACAACCCUCCUUGCCGCACCGCCAUCAGCUGCUUUGCUCCCAUACCUAAGCGCCGCGACACAUGCAAGCGAGCUGCAAACAAAUUUUCAUGGGAUGAGGCCGGCGGACUGCAUCAACUGUCUUUUUCGCAAAAAAAGAGUAAAAUGAACCUCAAUAGAAAAACUAAAGUGGACCGUAUUUGCACUUUAAUUUGUCUUCAGUAGAACACAAAAAAACACAAAUCUCAUCGACGGGAAUAGCAAACUGCAGUGUAGUGAUUUUCCUCCGAAAAUCAAAAAAGUGAACUGCAACAACCUCAAACACUGGCGUGGUUGAAUGUUCGUCGGUGGGGAGAAGAAGUAGGGGAGUCCCGUGCACCGGCACCAGCACUGAACCGCAUCACGCAUGCCGCCGAGCUGCACGGCGACGGUCGCCGGACUGCAGAGGGGAGAGACAGCGUUGUUGAAACAAAUGAGUCCAAAAGAAGAGAUCGUGGGGUAGGAAUUGGAUCCGAGGCGGAGAUGCUCAUCGGAGGCCUCACCGGAGAUGAGAGAUGGAGGCUGCCUGGUUUCCUCCUCAGCCCCGGCGGAUAGGUGCGCGACGGGGCACCGGUGGUGGUGCAGAUCCGGGUGGUGAUGGCCUGAGACGAGGACGACGACGAUGUGGCCGGGCCAGGCUGCAUCCUCGCGUGGCCCGAUAGCCGACAAGGACGGUGACGCAGAGGCGCAGGAGGAAGGGAGGACGGAGNNN
rnacentral:lncRNA from 1 species